CUCACAUCCACCAAGGUCCCCUAUGGCUUUUGCUACAGAAGAUCUGUGUAGUCUUCACCAACAUGAAGCCCAGCUGCCAGAGCUGUCCUGAGCCAAUAAAUACAUGUCUUCCAGCCUUCUAUGACACCCACAUGCGCAGCUGCAUAAAGCAAGACAUCAACAUAGAGUCAGCAAACAGCAACCUCUCCCUUUCCCCAAGGACUCUAAAAUUCAUCAAAUUUCAAGCCUCUAUUAAGCACCAGCUUUGGGCUAAACUUUGCUGUUAGGGAUACAUAGAUAAUUAAUUUCCCCCUCCCCCAACCCAGUCUUAGUAACUGGUAAGAUAACCAGUCUUCUUCUCAGUAACUUGCUUGGUGGGUGGGGAAGAGGAACCAAUUAGGAAGAAGAAAACUCCAACUCGAGCAUUCAAGUCAGCGAGGAGAUCUUUCUUCACAAUCAUGCCAAAACUGAGUUUCUGAGGAAGGUCAGUCCAAGAAGUAUUGCUGACCUCAGCUCUUCUGAAGAUUCCCAGAACCAUGCAGCUGCUUAGCCUGUCUGGGCUUCAAUACUAUCUCGAGUCUCAGUCACUUUGGAACUACUUCAAUAGAGGAAAAACCCCACCUAUACUUGUGGUCAGAGAAAUUAGGAAAAACCAAUUUCAAUAUUC
rnacentral:lncRNA from 1 species